GGGUAACCUGCCCAUAAGACUGGGAUAACUCCGGGAAACCGGGGCUAAUACCGGAUAACAUUUUGAACUGCAUGGUUCGAAAUUGAAAGGCGGCUUCGGCUGUCACUUAUGGAUGGACCCGCGUCGCAUUAGCUAGUUGGUGAGGUAACGGCUCACCAAGGCAACGAUGCGUAGCCGACCUGAGAGGGUGAUCGGCCACACUGGGACUGAGACACGGCCCAGACUCCUACGGGAGGCAGCAGUAGGGAAUCUUCCGCAAUGGACGAAAGUCUGACGGAGCAACGCCGCGUGAGUGAUGAAGGCUUUCGGGUCGUAAAACUCUGUUGUUAGGGAAGAACAAGUGCUAGUUGAAUAAGCUGGCACCUUGACGGUACCUAACCAGAAAGCCACGGCUAACUACGUGCCAGCAGCCGCGGUAAUACGUAGGUGGCAAGCGUUAUCCGGAAUUAUUGGGCGUAAAGCGCGCGCAGGUGGUUUCUUAAGUCUGAUGUGAAAGCCCACGGCUCAACCGUGGAGGGUCAUUGGAAACUGGGAGACUUGAGUGCAGAAGAGGAAAGUGGAAUUCCAUGUGUAGCGGUGAAAUGCGUAGAGAUAUGGAGGAACACCAGUGGCGAAGGCGACUUUCUGGUC
rnacentral:rRNA from 2 species